AGCGAACGCUGGCGGCAGGCUUAACACAUGCAAGUCGAACGGGCGUAGCAAUACGUCAGUGGCAGACGGGUGAGUAACGCGUGGGAACGUACCUUUUGGUUCGGAACAACACAGGGAAACUUGUGCUAAUACCGGAUAAGCCCUUACGGGGAAAGAUUUAUCGCCAAAAGAUCGGCCCGCGUCUGAUUAGCUAGUUGGUGAGGUAACGGCUCACCAAGGCGACGAUCAGUAGCUGGUCNGAGAGGAUGAUCAGCCACAUUGGGACUGAGACACGGCCCAAACUCCUACGGGAGGCAGCAGUGGGGAAUAUUGGACAAUGGGCGAAAGCCUGAUCCAGCCAUGCCGCGUGAGUGAAGAAGGCCUGC
rnacentral:rRNA from 1 species